rnacentral:tRNA from 1 species
UGGCUCAGUAGGUAGAGCAUGUGACUCUUGAUCUCAGGGGUGUGAGUUCGAGCCCCAC